UUGGAGUGGGACGAGCUAUAGCAGAAUCCAUUUCUUGCCUUUUACCAGAGAUGGCCGUGGCUACGCCCAAUAUACUCCAUUUCUCAAUCUUUGGACCAUACAAAUCCGACCUGAUGCGU
rfam:Fonsecaea pedrosoi CBS 271.37 unplaced genomic scaffold supercont1.7, whole genome shotgun sequence.